AGCGAACGCUGGCGGCAGGCCUAACACAUGCAAGUCGAACGAACCUUUCGGGGUUAGUGGCGGACGGGUGAGUAACACGUGGGAACGUGCCUUUAGGUUCGGAAUAACUCAGGGAAACUUGUGCUAAUACCGAAUGUGCCCUUCGGGGGAAAGAUUAAUCGCCUUUAGAGCGGCCCGCGUCUGAUUAGCUAGUUGGUUGAGGUAAUGGCUCACCAAGGCGACGAUCAGUAGCUGGUCUGAGAGGAUGAUCAGCCACAUUGGGACUGAGACACGGCCCAAACUCCUACGGGAGGCAGCAGUGGGGAAUCUUGCGCAAUGGGCGAAAGCCUGACGCAGCCAUGCCGCGUGAAUGAUGAAGGUCUUAGGAUAGUAAAAUUCUUUCACCGGGGACGAUAAUGACGGUACCCGGAGAAGAAGCCCCGGCUAACUCCGUG
rnacentral:rRNA from 1 species